rnacentral:rRNA from 1 species
GGUUGAUCCUGCCAGUAGUCAUAUGCUUGUCUCAAAGAUUAAGCCAUGCAUGUGUAAGUAUAAGCUUUUAAACGGCGAAACUGCGAAUGGCUCAUUAAAACAGUUAUAGUUUAUUUGAUGAUCAAAUUACUACAUGGAUACCCGUAGUAAUUCUAGAGCUAAUACAUGCGUAAAAUCCCGACUUCUCGGAAGGGACGUGUUUAUUAGAUACAGAACCAACCUAGGGUCCGCCCUAGCUCUGUUGGUGAUUCAUAAUAACCAAACGAAUCGCACAGUUCGCUGGCGAUAGAUCA